GCCUUCGUGGUGUAGUGGUCAGCACACUUGGCGCGUAACAGAGAGAUCCGUGGUUCGAUUCCCGGCGAGAGCA
rnacentral:tRNA from 1 species